AUGAACGCUGGCGGCGUGCCUAAUACCUGCAAGUCGAGCGAACGGACGAGAAGCUUGCUUCUCUGAUGUUAGCGGCGGACGGGUGAGUAACACGUGGAUAACCUACCUAUAAGGCUGGGAUAACUUCGGGAAACCGGAGCUAAUACCGGAUGAUAUUUUGAACCGCAUGGUUCAAAAGUGAAAGACGGUCUUGCUGUCACUUAUAGAUGGAUCCGCGCUGCAUUAGCUAGUUGGUAAGGUAACGGCUUACCAAGGCAACGAUGCAUAGCCGACCUGAGAGGGUGAUCGGCCACACUGGAACUGAGACACGGUCCAGACUCCUACGGGAGGCAGCAGUAGGGAAUCUUCCGCAAAGGGCGAAAGCCUGACGGAGCAACGCCGCGUGAGUGAUGAAGGUCUUCGGAUCGUAAAACUCUGUUAUUAGGGAAGAACAUAUGUGUAAGUAACUGUGCACAUCUUGACGGUACCUAAUCAGAAAGCCACGGCUAACUACGUG
rnacentral:rRNA from 1 species